UACGUAGGGUGCAAGCGUUAAUCGGAAUUACUGGGCGUAAAGCGUGCGCAGGCGGUUGUGCAAGACCGAUGUGAAAUCCCCGGGCUCAACCUGGGAAUGGCAUUGGUGACUGUACGGCUAGAGUGUGUCAGAGGGGGGUAGAAUUCCACGUGUAGCAGUGAAAUGCGUAGAGAUGUGGAGGAAUACCGAUGGCGAAGGCGGCCUCCUGGCUCGAUACUGACGCUGAGGUGCGAAAGCGUGGGGAUCAAACAGG
rnacentral:rRNA from 1 species